UGGGGAAUAUUGGGCAAUGGGCGCAAGCCUGACCCAGCAACGCCGCGUGAAGGAUGAAGGUUUUCGGAUUGUAAACUUCUGUCGCGAGGGACGAAGAAUGACGGUACCUCGUAAGAAAGCCCCGGCUAACUACGUGCCAGCAGCCGCGGUAAUACGUAGGGGGCAAGCGUUGUCCGGAAUGACUGGGCGUAAAGGGAGUGUAGGCGGCUCAUCAAGUUAGAUGUGAAAUCCCGCGGCUUAACCGCGGAACUGCAUCUAAAACUGGUAAGCUGGAGUGCAGGAGAGGUGAGUGGAAUUCCUAGUGUAGCGGUGGAAUGCGUAGAUAUUAGGAGGAACACCAGAGGCGAAGGCGACUCACUGGACUGUAACUGACGCUGAGGCUCGAAAGCGUGGGGAGCAA
rnacentral:rRNA from 1 species